AGAGUUUGAUCCUGGCUCAGGAUGAACGCUAGCGGGAGGCUUAACACAUGCAAGUCGAGCGGGAUUUAGUAGCUUGCUACUAAUGAGAGCGGCGCACGGGUGAGUAACGCGUAUGCAACCUACCUUUUACAGGGGAAUAGCCCAGAGAAAUUUGGAUUAAUACCCCAUAGUACUGAGAGAUCGCGUGGUUUUUCAGUUAAAGAUUCAUCGGUAAGAGAUGGGCAUGCGUGGCAUUAGAUUGUUGGCGGGGUAACGGCCCACCAAGUCUUCGAUGUCUAGGGGUUCUGAGAGGAUGAUCCCCCACACUGGUACUGAGACACGGACCAGACUCCUACGGGAGGCAGCAGUGAGGAAUAUUGGUCAAUGGGCGCAAGCCUGAACCAGCCAUCCCGCGUGAAGGAAGAAUGUCCUAUGGAUUGUAAACUUCUUUUUUGUACCAAGAAUGUGACCUACGUGUAGGUUUUUGACAGUAGUACAUGAAUAAGCAUCGGCUAACUCCGUGCCAGCAGCCGCGGUAAUACGGAGGAUGCGAGCGUUAUCCGGAUUCAUUGGGUUUAAAGGGUGCGUAGGCGGCUUAUUAAGUCAGUGGUGAAAUCCUGCGGCUCAACCGUAGAACUGCCAUUGAUACUGAUAAGCUUGAAUUUAGUUGAGGUAGGCGGAAUGAGUAGCGUAGCGGUGAAAUGCUUAGAUAUUACUCAGAACACCAAUUGCGAAGGCAGCUUACUAAACUAACAUUGACGCUGAUGCACGAAAGCGUGGGGAGCGAACAGGAUUAGAUACCCUGGUAGUCCACGCCGUAAACGAUGUUCACUCGCUGUAUGCAAUACACCGUAUGCGGCCAAGCGAAAGUAUUAAGUGAACCACCUGGGGAGUACGUCGGCAACGGUGAAACUCAAAGGAAUUGACGGGGGCCCGCACAAGCGGAGGAACAUGUGGUUUAAUUCGAUGAUACGCGAGGAACCUUACCUGGGCUUAAAUGUAGAGUGCAUGUGGUGGAAACACCCUUCCCUUCGGGGCUUUCUACAAGGUGCUGCAUGGUUGUCGACAGCUCGUGCCGUGAGGUGUCGGGUUAAGUCCCAUAACGAGCGCAACCCCUAUCGUUAGUUGCCAUCAGGUCAUGCUGGGGACUCUAGCGAGACUGCCACCGUAAGGUGAGAGGAAGGUGGGGAUGACGUCAAAUCAGCACGGCCCUUAUGUCCAGGGCUACACACGUGUUACAAUGGCAAGUACAAAGGGCAGCUACACCGCGAGGUGAUGCUAAUCUCUAAAGCUUGUCUCAGUUCGGAUCGGAGUCUGCAACUCGACUCCGUGAAGUUGGAUUCGCUAGUAAUCGGAUAUCAGCCAUGAUCCGGUGAAUACGUUCCCGGGCCUUGUACACACCGCCCGUCAAACCAUGGAAGUUGGGGGGACCUGAAGUCUGUCACCGAAAGGAGCGGCCUAGGGUAAAACCGAUGACUGGGGUUAAGUCGGAACAAGGUA
rnacentral:rRNA from 1 species